UUGGAGCAAGUAAUGUCUUUUCUCUUUCCCUAUUUACCAUAUUCUUUCAGAUAUGCUGUCUAAGUACUAAAUGAUUGCACUCGAGGCUCUGACAGUUUUUAGCUGUGCUCUUUUGUCCAGAGAGGAUAACAACAUAAAGAGAACCUGCUUACUCCUGUGCAUCCAUAACCAAAAAACGUGAGCACAUGCAGGAGCAUCUUUCCCAAUGUGUGCGUGUAUAGUUCAAGCCACAGCCGAAGUAACAAAGCCCCAACUUAAAAAUCUUGUAUGAUCUGCCUCCUCACUGAGAAGGAAAGAAAUAAUGAAGAAUCCAGGUUUUAAGUUGCUGUCAGGGCUGGAUAUGCAGUGAUUUCUUUCUCAACCUUGGACUAGGAAUAUGCAUGAGCAAGUAAUGAGACAUUUAGGAACUCAAAUUAGUCUCUUCUCUUAGCAACUUCCUUCUUCCCACACCUCAAGAGAUUCUAACUAGUCCUUCCCUCUUUAUAAUCCACCUCCAGCAUUUGAGCAACACAGAAGCCUCCAAAAUGCAAGUGCUUUCAACAGGAAUCCAUCUAACCUAUGUUUGAAAAAGCACAUCUUUCAAAACCUGGGAAUUGAUGUUGAUGUAGACCUUUAGGAUCUGAGCCAAAGCCAGCUGUCUGUGUAGGUGCCAGGAAGGCAAUCCUGCUGCCACAAUGCUUCACCUGCCUCAGCGUUCAUCUUCCUCCUGGAAAGAGAUACUGCGGCAGUUGCAGCUGAGUGGACAGGUACAGGUCCUAGCUCCACAUCUGUAGUGCAGGGAGCCACACUACCGAAGCAGUAGUAACAGGAAAAAGAAAUGACCGGAGACGACUCAGGCUCGGUAAGCC